AUGUGCUGGAAUGUCCGAGGCUUGAACAAUCCAGCGAAGAGGCAAGCGGUCAAAGAUUUCCUAGUCUCGGUGCGGCCUAACUUAGUGUGCUUACAAGAAACUAAGCUUGAUGUAGUGGAUAGUUUUCUUAUAAUGCAAUGUUGUGGGCCGUCCUUAGACGGCUUUGCUUAUUUGCCGGCGGUUGACACGAGAGGUGGGAUCAUAUUAGCCUGGAAU
rnacentral:rRNA from 1 species